GAGUGAGAACAGAUCUUUUAGAAUUUUUCUAACAGGAUUUCUGAUCUUGGUCAGAAAACCCAC
rnacentral:snRNA from 1 species